UAGUGCUGUGAGGGCAGGGGGCGUUGGUGGUGGUGGUGGUGGUGACGCUGGGGAGGCAGGGAUUGGUGUUACAUUGCUUUGGUCGACACUGGUCAGUCUUGCCACACACGCUCCUAAUAGUGAUCAGUGCAUAUUCCUGGCGGUGGUGGUGGUGUGAUUAGAUUGUUUUGGCAGGGGCGCUGGGGAAGGAGGGAUUGGUGUUACAUUGUUUUAGUCAGCACUGACCAGUCUUGCCACACACUCUCCUAAUAGCGAUAAGUGCAUAUUCCCAGCAGCUUCUUCCUCCAUCAAGCAGCACCAGAGACACAGCUACUUAAGAUGAGUACAGUGUUGGCAGCCUCCUCUUGUCAGCCUUACCGCCCUCACCGUAACACACUCCUCCCGCGGACUUCCUGUCAGUUUAUUCGUUAUUUGGGUGUUUUUGAGGUUAUUUAUUAUUUAUUUAGUUUCCUCGCAUCUGAGUCUAAAAAUUUAGCUAAAUAUUGAAGGGAGAUCUAUGUAAACAAACAGAUAGAGGUAGGGCGUCCUUAUUAUGAGCUUUUAUCUGCUUCAUCUCUUAUUUAUUGUAAGCCUAACACAUCACAAAGUGGAGCCACAUGACUAGGCUUUCAUAUCCGCUAGCUAGAUAUAUCCGCCAUUGCCUCAUUUAGUUACGAUGGAAGAAUAAUAGGCAAAAUAGCGGCCGUUCUCUCCACUGGCAAGGGCCGCCAUGAUGGCUGGCUACCUAUUUCAACCUGUGCCGAUCUGUUGGUUCCAAUACUUUUUUGGUAAUUUUCUUAACUUCUUUAUUCUGCUCAUAUAGCAUGUUUUUAUGGUUUAUAAAAAUAAUUAUUUGCUUUAGAAGUGUUUUCGUUGCUUGUGUUGAGUUGUUUUCAAUUUUGUGUUGCUUUACGAAAAUGUGGGGUGUUUUUUUGGCAGUAUUUUGACAAACUUGUUUUUUUAUUUCACGUUCUAAUUACGUCUUUUGUGUUUCUAAAAAUCGCUUAUGAUUUUUAAAGUGUUUUUUCGUUCCUGUUGAGAGAAAUAAGUGGACUUUAAAAAUGGUUUAUGGUCCUGUUAAAAGUUGUGAUUACAACACUUUUUGUGUUAUUGUCUCUCUAUUUCAGCUUGUAACUAACUUUUCAUUGCUUGAAAAAAUAGUUCGUAUGUUUUAAAGUGUUUUAUCUUGUUGUUGAGUCAAAAUGGGUGGACUUUUCAGUGGUUUUUAAUCGUGUUUAGGUUCCAACACUUGUUUUUUACACAAUUUCGGUUUUAUUUGUUUACUUCUUGUUCUAGGUAACUUUUGAUGGUGUAAGAUGAUAGUUCAGAUUUUUUAAAAUUUUUUACGUUCCUGAAAAUACAAAUGUUGUGGACUUUUCAAUGAUUUAAAUGGUGCCGAAUAUUUCAACAUUUUUUCCAUAAUUCACUUGGAUAUUUUUUAAAUACUACUCAGGCUGGAACUGUUAUAAUAUUGUGAAUAUUUGUUAAAGUAUUUGUCAAGUCAGAAUAUAUGAGGCAUUCGAGCCUAGCUCCAUUUUUUCGAGGGGUCAAUUUCAUAAUGAAAUCCGUUACGGUACGUAAAAUAGCCGUGACGUCACUGCCGCCAUCACGGACCCGGGACCUUGAUCGGCUCCGCUGUCUCCUCGAUCAAGUGGUGAAUUGUUAAUCACCAGUUAUCACCCUUCAAGUGAACAGGUGCAAACCCUAGCUUGCCAAAUGAUGGGUGAGAAUGUUAUCACUGAUCUAGCAAUCAAUUCCAAAGAUGGUGGUGAAGAGAGCAUUGAAGACUUCCAAGGUGAAGGCGACUGUGCGGGAUUGGUGAUAAUGCUCAAUGGCCAUGGUCACCAUAUUGAGGAAGAUCAGGACGAAGAUGGAAAUUUCAAAUCUGUUGGCAAGGAUAAUAUACAGUAGACUAUUAAGAAGUUAUGUUAUAUAUAAUAAUUCAAAAGCUGAACAAAUUUCACAUACACAAAAAAAUCAUAUAAUAGAUAUACUGCUUGAGUUGAUGAAUGCAUUCAAUAGUUAAAACAAAUGUAGUUUAUUCUGAACAUAGAAAAGAUGAAUGUUUCAUAUUUAUUGGCAGCAGAUAAUUUGCAAUGGAGAAUUAAUAUAUACCUUUGUUACACAUGAUGAUCACAAUACUUAAUGCAUUCCACUUAAAUUACAAAGACACCUCAAUUUAACAUACUAUGUGUGAAAAGAAGAAACUGAAGACAAACUUGCCUUCACUACUAAAUGCUUGAAACCUAAUACCUUCUGCCACAUUUGUAUUUAUAAACUUUGAAUAAUUGUUCAUGGUAAAUUAUUUUUGUUUCAUAAGAGCAUAGACUAGUAACUUUUCUUUAGCCAUAUGUAAGUGUUUGUCACAGAUCAACAGUGGUACAGUGUGUAUUUACCUAUUUGUAUUUUUUACAGGAAUGGCACAAACUCAUAAUGUCCCAUGUUUUUGUAACCAAUUAUCAUAUUUUUCUUUAAAUUUAUGUACACUGUUUGCACACACUACUUCUUCUGGCAGUGAAUUCCAUAGAUCUAUUGCCCUACUCGGAAAAAAUGUAUUUUUGUAUGUCUUUGUCUCCUCUUCUUUUUUUCAGUUUCAUUUUAUGUCCUCUUUAAUGUUUCAUUUCCUCAUGUAAACAAAUUUGCUGUGUUAAUCUUUUCUUUUUCCAUCAAACAUUUAUACAUCAUGAUCAUAUCACCUCUUAUUCUUCUUUCCUCUAGUUUGGGUAAAUUCAGCUUUCCUAAUCUUUCUUCAUAGCUUAACCCUCUAAGGGAUAGUACCAUUCUUGAUGCCACCCAUUUAACUUUCUCCAGUUUGGAAGUAUGUUUUUUAAGUUUUUUUUUUAAGGCAACUUUUGCUGUUGCCUUUUGAUAGAGUCAGGCACAAAGCUUUGAUUUCCAAACUAUCCUUCUAUGGCUUCUAUCCUCCUCUCUGUAACUUCACCUCAAGUUUCCUUUCUGACCGUUCUAUUGCUGCUGUGGUAGAUGGUCACUGUUCUUCUCCUAAAUCUAUCAACAGUGGUGUUCCUCAGGGUUCUGUCCUGUCACCUAUUCUCCUCCUAUUAUUCAUCAAUGAUCUUCUAAACCAAACUUCUUGUCCUAUCCACUCCUACGCUGAUGAUACCAACCUGCACUUAUCCAUGUCUUUUCAUUGAUGUCCAAUCCUUCAGGAAGUAAACAGUUCAUGCAGUGAAGCCAUAGAACACCUGACUUCUGAUUUCUCUAAAAUUUCUGAUUGGGGCAGAGCAAACUUAGUAUUGUUCAUUGCCUCAAAAACUCAAUUCCUCCAUCUAUCAACUUGACACAAGCUUCCAGACAACUAUCCCUUCUUUCUCAAUGACACUCAACUGUCCCCCUCUUCUACACUGAACAUCCGUCUGUCCUUUACUUAGAAUCUAAACUGGAAACUUCACAUUUCAUGUCUAGCUAGAACAGCUUCUAUGGAAUCAGGCAUUCUGAGACGUCUCUGUCAGUUUUUUUCGCCCUUCCAGCUGCUAACUCUAUACAGGGGCCUUAUCUGUUCAUGUAUGGAGUGUGUUUCACAUGUAUAGGGGUAGUUCCACUCAUAUCACUCUUUUAGAUAGGGUGGUAUUGAAAGCUUUUCAUCUCAUCAACUCCUCCCCUCUAACUGACUGUCUUCAGCCUCUUUCUCAUUGCUGCAAUGCUGUAUCUCUUGUUAUCUUCUACCACUAUUUUCAUGCUAACUGCUCUUCUGAUCUUGCUAACUGCAUUCCUCCCCUCCUUCUGCGGCCUCAAUGCACAAGACUUUCUUCUUUCUCUCACCUCUAUUCUGUCCACCUCUCUAAUGCAAGAGUUAAAAAGUAUUCUCAACUAUUCAUCUCUUUCUCUGAUAAACUCUAGAACUCCCUGCCUGCUUCUGUAUUUCCACCUUCCUAUGACUUGAAUCCCUUCAAGAGGGAGGUUUCAAGACACUUAUCCUUCAAUUUUUGACUACCCUUACUUAUCCUUCAAUUUUUGACUACCCUUUUGGACCAUAUUUAGGGACUGGCAUCUUAGUGGGCCUUUUUUGAUGUAUUGGAUUUUGUUGCCCUUGGCCAGUGUCUCUCCUUAAAAAAUAAAUAAAUAAAAAAUAAAAUAAAAUAAAAUAAAAUAAAAAAA